CCUACGGGAGGCAGCAGUGGGGAAUAUUGGACAAUGGGGGAAACCCUGAUCCAGCGACGCCGCGUGAGUGAAGAAGUAUUUCGGUACGUAAAGCUCUAUCAGCAGGAAAGAAAAUGACGGUACCUGACUAAGAAGCCCCGGCUAACUACGUGCCAGCAGCCGCGGUAAUAAGUAGGGGGCAAGCGUUAUCCGGAUUUACUGGGUGUAAAGGGACCGUAGACGGCAGCGCAAGUCUGGAGUGAAAUGCCGGGGACCAACCCCGGAACUGCUCUGGAAACUGUGAAGCUGGAGUGCAGGAGAGGUAAGCGAAAUUCCUGGUGUAGCGGUGACAUGCGUAGAUAUCAGGAGGAACACCGGCGGCGAAGGCGGCUUACUGGACUGUAACUGACGUUGAGGCUCGAAGGCGUGGGGAGCAAACAGGAUUAGAUACCCUUGUAGUC
rnacentral:rRNA from 1 species